GCGGCGGUGCAUGGUGAGAAGGCGGUGGCGGUGAAUGAUGAGUAGGCGGUGUUGGAAAAUGAGGCGGCGGUGCGUGGUGAGCUGGUGGUGGUGGUGCAUGGUGAUGAGCGGGAGGUGAAAAAUGAGGCGGUGGCGUGCGAUGAUGAGGGGGUGGAGGGUGGUGAGCAGGGGAAGGGUUUGGCGGAGCUCCAUGGUCAUGGUGGUGGCGGUGGCCAUGAUGACCAUGGUGCUUGUGGUGAGGUGAGCCGUGGUACGACGGUGGUUCCACCGGCGCCAACCCAUGGUGGUGAGGCUUCCCAUGCUUGGAUCCAAGGUGCGCCGUCACUGGCGUCUCGGCAUAGGGUGCCAGAGCCGGUGCUUCUGCCGACGGGAAGGCAUGGUGAGGCGAUGAGGCGCCGCAGUACGAUGCGAGCACAGCCGCAAGAGCAACGAGGAGGGCGAUGCCCUUCAUGCUUGUGGUGCCUAUGUGUUUGGUCCCUUCACUGGUUGGUUUGAUUGCCUCUCGAUCUCUUCCAUCUGGCGCCUUAUAUAGUGGCCGUUUGAAUCUUCAGUUUGAUGUUACCAAACCCAUUAUCUUGGGUUGGGAGCUGCUGGACAUCUGGGAGAAUGUGCGAGCGCCGACUGGGCCGUGCUGCGCGGGGCCGCAAAUCCCGGUCUGUUGGACUUCGAAGCAGCGCGAAUGACUUGCAUUGGCAGUCUGAUGGGCUUUGCACCUCAAGAGACACACGCAACGAUCGGUCCUUGUUGGGCGGCCGCAUGGUGUGCGUGGACCAAACUACAUCGAGCUAGUGGGCUUCAACUUCACUACUUCAGUGGUCUCCGGAACGAAGAAUUUUGUCGACGUAGGGCCCUUUGUAGGGCUUGAGGGGCUUCGGCUUCCUUACAGCAGCGCAUCGUGUAGCAGGUGCCGGAGCUGAAGUCGAAGCCGGGCAAGUCAUUUUUUUCAUUUCACCUCUUUCCAGUUUAUUUUUUUUGCCUCGAUUCGCGUACCGACUUCACAUUAGGGCAUGUACAACAGUGAGACAGCUGCUGUCUCUAAGUUCUUGGAAUUUACUACAUAGACGGCUAAAUAGACAGCUCGUACAACCCACAGAUAGUUGCUAUCUGUUUUGGCUGUCAACAAAUCAUUAAAUGUUUGCAUGCAACCAUGAUUUGGCGCGCGCACAGCAGGAUCCGCACGGUGUCGACGAGGAGGCGACGCUCCGUACAACGCGCAGCCAGCCGUCUUCUUCGCCUGGGAGCACGAGCGCUUGCCGUCGUCUCCCCACGCGACGGCUUCCCUCUCUCUCUUCAGUUACUGCAGUGAAGCGAGGGGGAUUUUGCAAAACUUCCGUCGUGAGACGACGGCUGCCACGACCGUUGUACGUGCCCUUACAGUACCAAAACAUUGUACCACGAAGCUGAAGUCGAGGGAGGCAAAACCCUACGGGGGCCGUAGGGAGACCGGCAGGCUGAAGAAUUCCAUCGUCGGCACUACGGCAGGAACCAACUCUUUUGGGUGGAUGCAUGGACUAGAAUUUGGCGGCCGUUCCCUUUCUAUCACUACUGUGCAUUUGACUUGUGCCGCCGUGUCGUUUUCUGGCACGUUUAGCUUACUUCGGACUGCCGGAUUUACACCAUCAGAAUUCAGAAGCACGCUGGCCCUGACAUUCCUAUCCCUACUGUGGCGGCGGAUCCUGAAUUUCCGAACUGCAGGUUCCUGAUAGUGCUGCAUCUUAUCCGGGGGAAGCACAUCCCGGUACUGAUGGCAGACAGCAUGGUUUGGAACUUUGAGACAAGAUGCAGGAUGAUGCUCGUCAACUCUGCAGGGCUGUGGCCCGUGGCUGAGGUGAGUUUCUGUACCGAGAUCAAAGUUUUUUUUCCCCACCAUUCCCGCGUUACUGUUCAGGGUAAAAGGACAGUUCAGUCCCUUUUACACUUAAAAUUUGUGGUAGCGGCCAGUCAUGCUCGAAGCCAUGUGAGGAGCACGCGAUGGCUAGUGAAUGUUAGGCGAAGCUAGACAGUAGAGCAGACCGUUCCGGCAUGAACGGCACUGCCCGCUGGCAGCAAGGUCAACCGAAAAGGCAUGUAUGCUACGUAGUGGUUUAGGUGGAUCAGAUCCGGACUCACGACGGUGGAGAUCUGAAGCUCCUUUCCCCCCAAAUAUCCAUGAGGACGUGUCGAUCACCCGAUCCAUUGCAUUGCCCAUUGUCGAUCUCCCGACUUGCCGCCUUGCACAGAAAUAACACCGAAUCAGUUUCUGGUCCAUGUGCACAAAACCACCGCCCACGUUUGCUCGAUGGAUCGUGUAG